rnacentral:lncRNA from 1 species
UCUCUCUCUCUCUCUCUCUCUCUCUCUCUCUCUCUCUCUCUCUCUCUCUCUCUCUCAGUGGAAGCGCAAGAUGUAGGAAAAAGGAAGGGAAGGCAAAGAAGAAGGAUUUCAAGUUUUAGGCACAAAGCUAUACAUCAAAUUCGCGUAGCAUAAAUGCUCCCCCUCCCCCAUUGGAUAUAUUCUGUUUGGUUAAUAUAUUGUGAACUGUGAAAUUUGAAGGAUCUGACACAUUGAAAGUUCUUAUUGACAUGUAAAAUGUGAAGUUCUUUUGUCGAUCUUGGGCCAUCUUGGUUCAAUUAAUGAAUGGACAGGGCAGCUAGUUGUACUAUUGAGGUAGGAAUGAUGUUUAAAGGGAAUUUGAUAAGUGAAUCCAUUAUGAGAUCGUCAAUGAAUCUUAACUGUGCCUAAAC